GUAUGAGGAUCUCAGAUCCCCAAUUUGAAUUCCCACUCCUCUCCCAAAAACCUAGCAGUCGUCGUUGCUUCUCCCACGACAUUUCCUCUUCACCUUUCAAGAUUAUCAAGUGUUCGACAUCAUUCACCAUCACUUCCGAUGUAUCACAAUCGAUUGCAUCACACUAUUGCAUUAAAGGAUCUAUUAGAGUUUCUCAACAUAAGCCCUAGCGAUUAAGAAUAUUGAUGAAUGUGCGUGGAUUUAAUAGGUCACUUUCACAGGGCUUAUGUGAGAUGCUGAUUACUUAGGUUUUUGGGGGACUUAGACAUGUCGAUAUCCCAGGUUAUGGAGGAAGAAGCUCUGAAGGUGGAGAUGUUGGCCAAUGUAGAUGAUGCUCUUUUGAGGUCUUAAAGUUUUUUUUAAAGGUGUUGUUUGUGGGAGAUUGAGAUGGAGGUGGAUUAGAGAGAGGUUUAAAUGGAGUGUUGAUAGGAAGUGAUAUGUUAAGAAGGAAGACGAUGGAACACAAGGCUUUGAACUUGCAAGAAGUAGCUUUUGUUUUUUAGUGUUGGUGGAUUUUUCGAUUAAGGUGGUUUAGGAAGUGGCGCAAAAGUUGGUGGAUAAUAAGGUUAGAGUGGCUUGUAGAGGAUCAAUGGGUUCUCAACAAUUGUUCUCCUAUCACUGUUGCAAUCAUGACCCUUGCUGUGAUGGCCAUGAAGUUAAGUUGUAUGAGUGUUCUGCGUUGAAGUUGUGGAGGUGUUAGUAGCGGGGUAUAUUACUAACCCAAUCCCAAAAAAGAUCAAGAUUAGAGGUUUUGAUUUAGUCAAAUGUUAGUUGAUGUAUCGUUAGGAAUCUGAAUCUUCAUUUAUUAUAUUGGUCGUUGUAGGUUUUCUUUAAAAAACCUAUAAUAGGUUCGCAUUAGGGCCCCCUUAACCUACGUUUUAGUGAAAUUGGAAGCCUAAAUUGGACUUGGUUUUGAUUUUUUUCCAGAUAGGCACCUGGUGGUAGGACAACCCCUGGUUGUCCAUUUAUAUUUAGAAUCCUAUACUGUGUACUUUAUUAUGUUUCAUUCUCUAACAUGUUUUCCACCUUCAGUAAAUUCGAUUCCAGGAGGCUACAAGCUGAUCUAAAAGCACCUGUUUCUGCUUCAUUUGAGAUUUGAGAUGACAGUAAAUCAAAUCUGUGAGAACUUUGCCAGUAUUGAGAGGUUAUGUCAAGAAUUGCAGACAUUAAUUGAGAAUCAUGAUCUGACUAAGCUUUUUAGCACUGCAUGAAAUACUUUAAACAACACAUUGAAGGUCUUGGAAGUUUUGAUGCUGCACUUGAAUCUCCUAAAUCUUGGGUUAUGAAUGUGAUGCUGACCAUAGCCAUAUUAAGACACGCUUGGUGUCAUUUGUGUAUGAGGCUUGAAUGGAACCUAUCAUGAUUGUUAAUUUUGAAGUCUUGCAUUCAAGUAUGCUAUUUUUUUUUCUAAUUCUAGACAUCUUUCUUAAUUAUAAGGCAAUCAUCGUUAAUGCUA